rnacentral:misc_RNA from 1 species
UCUCCGUUGGUGAACCAGCGGAGGGAUCAUUACCAGAGUUUUAUUACUCCCAACCUUUCUGUGAACCUACCUAUCGUUGCAUCGGCGGACUCGCUCUAGCGUCCGGACGGCCCAGCGCAGGCUCGCGACCAGCAGCCAGGCUGACGCCUGUGAUCACACGAUACUGUAACUAUAAGUUUCUCUGACUGCGCCGUAAGGCAACACAAACGAAUCAAACGUAUCAACAAGGGAUAUCUUGGUUCUGGCAUCCAUGCAGAACGCCGCAGCACGGAAGAGCAC